UCAGUAGUUUAUCAUGUUCCUCACGGCGCC
rnacentral:piRNA from 1 species